rnacentral:rRNA from 1 species
UACGUAGGGUCCAAGCGUUGUCCGGAUUUACUGGGCGUAAAGAGCGCGCAGGCGGUCGAUCAAGUCGAGUGUGAAAGCCCCCCGGCUCAACUGGGGAGGGUCAUUCGAUACUGAUCGACUCGAAGGCAGGAGAGGGUAGUGGAAUUCCCGGUGUAGUGGUGAAAUGCGUAGAUAUCGGGAGGAACACCAGUGGCGAAGGCGGUUCUCUGGGACGGUACUGACGCUGAGACGCGAAAAGCGUGGGGAGCGAACAGG